CGCGCAGGGCUCGGCUGCUGGCCGGGCAGGCUUCGUGGGACACCACGGUCUCUGCGCGGUCGGCAUGGAGGAGCGCAGCGAUUCCGAGCCUACCCCGGGAUGUAGCGGCCUUGGUCCGGGUCCCGUUCGCGCUGGCGGCGCCACCCCCCCCACGUGGGCUCCCGAGGACGCCUGGAUGGGCACACACCCUAAGUACUUAGAAAUGAUGGAAUUAGAUAUAGGAGAUGCCACCCAAGUUUAUAUAGCAUUCUUGGUUUACCUGGAUCUCAUGGAGAGUAAAAGUUGGCAUGAAGUAAACUGUGUAGGAAUACCAGAACUUCAGCUUAUCUGUCUCCUUGGCACUGAGAUAGAAGGGGAGGGGCUACAGACUGUGGUGCCCACACCCAUUUCUGCUUCCCUCAGCCAUAACAGGAUAAGGGAAAUCUUGAAGGCGUCUAGAAAACUGCAAGGUGAUCCAGAACUGCCCAUGUCUUUUACUUUGGCCAUUGUGGAGUCGGAUUCCACAAUAGUCUAUUAUAAGCUUACAGAUGGAUUUAUGCUGCCAGACCCUCAGAAUAUUUCGCUCAGAAGAUGACAUCUGUCCUCUUGAUGCUGAUUUCAUUUGUGAAAGAUUGGAUUUGAGGGCAUCGGCCUGUUUCGUCUUUUGUCUCAGAGAAACAUCUUUUCAGUUUCAUAAGCCUGGAACCAAACAACUUAAAGCUUCACACAUGGUAUUUCAUCUCUUUUGUUCGGAGCAUUUCUGGGCUGACUUCCUCUGUGAGGUCACUUUUUCCAUUGCUGCCCCAGCAGGAAGCCACUUCCCGACUGCUGCACAGUACUGCUUGCCAAAGCAUAUAGAGCUCCCGUCAGGAGAGGUUGUCCGCCAGCUGGAUUUUACCUUGACCACGCAUGGAAUAAUGUGCUAAUCAUAUACUUUCCCCUUCUCCCUGGACAAUGCUGCUUCUUGACACUGGCCCCUUCCAGCAGUGCACUCUUGAUGACCUGUGACUAGCAACUGCUUGUGCUCACAAAUGAAAAAAGAUGGAAAGACCAUGUCAGUGGAGUUAUCAUAAUUCCCAGCUAUAUUAUUUGAUGAUUCCAAGAAACUUCCUUCAAGUCAAUGAAAGCAAAAUCUAAAGACUGACAUUUGUUUGGGGGCUACUGAGUAGAGACAAUAUUUUAUUAAAUAUUCACUUAUUAAUUUAUCAGAUAUUAGCUAAUAUCUUAAUCGGUAGCUUAGAAGUAGAAAUGCAUUUUUUUGUAGUGUAGGGUCUGGAGGUUACAGAUCAAAGUGUCUGUCUUUUCUUACAAGGACAUAGCCUCGUUAUUGGGACCCCAUCCUCAUAACCUCACAUCACAAUAAUACCUCCCCAAAGCUCUUCAUUCCUAAAUUCAGUCACACUGGAGCCUCGGCAUGUCAAUUUGGGAUGAAGGGAUAUGAUACAGUCCAUAGCAACUGCUUCCUACAUGUGCUUAGAUAAUGCAUGGACACAGGCCCUCGAGGAACUCAGAGGCAGUGGCAGUUCUCAUCCCAGACUCUGGAAGCGUGCUGGCAAUGUCAAUUGAAGAAUACUUGUCAUACAGCAAUAUAAGCUGUCAUUUGUGUAGUUUAUGCCAUUUACCUAAGGGGGUGGGGCACAACAGCUUCUGAUUAAGUUUUCAAACACUCAUUUUAUACAUUCUAUUUCUUCUCAAGAACAUACACUAGAAGAGACACAAGGAAAAAUGGAAAAUCAACAAGCUAAGCAAACCCUUAUCCAAACUUAAUUGAAAGAGAGAAAAUAUCCAAAUGAACAAAAUCAGAAAUAAGAAUGGGACAUAGCAGACACUGAGGAAAUUAAAAGAAUCAUUAGGUCAUACUUUAAAAUCUGUACUCCACAAAAUUGGAAAAUCUAAAAGAAAUAUGUCAGGAGCAUUUUUCACAAGCUAUUGUGAGCCACGAUGCAAUUACAGCUUAUAGCAAUUGAUAAUUCAGAUGUCAGCCCACCAGAGAAAUUAUUCUCGGAGCGACCCUGCAAGGAAAGGCCAUCAGGGCCACUGGCUCUGAAAACUUGCUUUCAUGUGAUUUCACAUGUGCAAUAACAGCUAUGAUAUCCCCCUAUCGCCAUGCAUUUUCAUGCAGUGUGUACAUGUAAUCUCAUGGUUGGAUCUCAACCUUAUGAGUACAUAUAUCUGUGGAUGGUCAGGAAGAUGGCUUCUGUGUUGUUUUGGUAUAUAGAGCAAGUGCUCAUAGUCAGAAACUUUGAAGCCUGUUCUCUAUCAAUAGCUGGACCCACAGGGCAAAUUGGCCAGAUGAGUGAGUGCCCAGUGGACAGAUAACAAGCAGGACUCACAGAUAUUGUUCAUUAGCAGAAUUGCAGAUGUCUGGCCUUGUUUGGAUCAAAGCCCUACAGAAGACUUGGUGAACUAGAAUGAUAGUGCAGGUGUCUAUCCUUUUUAUAUCACAGUUCUUCAAGAGAUCAAUCACACCUAUGUUGCUUCCUUCACCGGCACCUCCCUUCUCUGAUUCAAAAUAGCAAUUAACACUACCAAUUUUUUAAUGCAAGAUUUUAAAUUCAGCAGACUAACUAUUUUUGUUUAGAUCCUGAGAUUCAGGUGAUAAAAAACCUGUUAACUGACUAUAUCCAGAUAUUAUUAAUCACACUUAAAAAAUAUAGAAUAGUACACGUAUUCAUUGCCUCUUCCUCAGAUCUCUCAGUGGGGUUUAGUCUCCUUCCUUUGUAAGAGAUAGUCAAUACCUCCUCACAGCUGCAGCUCCAGUUAGCUACAAACCAGCUGAUAAGUUUUGCUACGUAACUUCAAAGAAUGCCUGUGUCCCUGAGAAUUUUUCUUGCAGUUUUUUUUUAUUACUAACAAGUUGCUAAUGAAUGGAGGUAUAAAUGCUUGGGAUUUUGUGACGAUGAGGAGAAUUAGAAUGUAAAGAAAUAAGAUUGGAAGAAUGUAGACUGUAGAGAAAUAAGAAUGUAGAAUGUAUAAGAAAUAAGAAUGGUAGAAUCGGGACAAAAAUGGAGCUAAGAAAUUAUAGGCAAUUAGGAAAAGAGAAUUUGAACUAAUGAAGAAAUAAAGCAGCAACCCUCAGAUAUUGUGUGGAGUUAUUAUAGAACUCUUUCAGUUCCUACUCCCGAGAAGCAUUUCUCUGAGGAAUCCUGGGUAAGGGCUGAGAGCUGAUCUCUUGGCCUUUAGAGAAAUAGACAAUUUUCUCAAUAGAUACUGCUUACCAAAGUUAAAUCAAGAUCAGAUAAACAAUUUAAGUAGACCUGUAAACCUUAAGGAAAUAGAAACAGUCUUACAAACAAACAAACAAACAAAAAGCCCAGGGCCAGAAGUGCAAAGUUCUACCGGACUUUCAAAGAAGAGCUAUUGCCUAUAUUCCUCAAAUUUUCCAUAAAAUUGAAACAGUAGGAACAUUGCCAAAUUCAUUUUAUGAGGUCACAGUUACACUGAUACCCCAACCACACAAAGAUUCAACAGAGGAAUUACCAAUUUCUCUCAUGAACAUAGAUGCAAAAAUAUUUAGUAAAAUACAUACCAAUCCAAGAACACAUCAAAAUCAUCUAUUAUAAUCAAAUAGACUUUGUCCCAGAGAUGCAAGGAUGGUUCAACAUAAGAAAAUCCAGUCAAUGUAAUCCACCAUAUAAAUUAACUGAAAAAAAAAAAAAAACAAAACCCUACAUGAUCAUCUCAUUAGAUGCUGAAAAGGCCUUUGACAAAAUCCAACAUUUCUUUACUAUGAAACUCUUGGAGAAAUUAAGGAUACAAGGACAUACCUAAACAUAAUAAAAGCAAUUUACAGAAAGCCUAUAGGCAGUAUCAAAUUAGGUGGAGAAAAAUCAAAGCAAUUCUACUAAAAUCAUGAACAAGAUAAGGCUGUCCAUGCUCUCCAUAUCUAUUCAAUAUGCUACUUAAAGUUCUAGUGGGAGCAAUAAGAACCAAAGUAGAUCAAGGGAAUACAAAUUGGAAAGAAAGAAGCCAAAGAAUCAAUAGACUUUUGCAGAUGAUAUGAUACUGUACAUAAGCAACCCCA